CAGAAAGUGAUGAAGGCUGUGUGGACUGAGGUAGUCUUGGAGGCUUUAGAUGAGCUGACCUUAGAACAGCCAGUCAUCUGGUGGUGAGGACCUCCACCUGGACUUUGGGGAAAUGGCAUAUCACAGAUUUCAAGUUGUCUCCUACAUCCCAGGCCAGGCCCUCCAGAAAAGGUGUCUGGUUUUGACUGGCAAUUCUAUCCAAGGCCCAGGAAGCUGUCUUGUUGGAACUGAUGUGUUCCCACAACACUUGUGAGUUUCAGCAGAUUGCCUUUUGUGCUCAAGAUCAAUGUUCCCUAAUUUGUCAUGAAGCAGAUAUGACUUUUUCACAUUUGGCAUGUAUAAAAGCAAGAAGGAUCUUCACAUUGCUGAAACAUCAAUAAGAUGUGCCUCCUUAUUUUAUUAAAUAUUGCAAUUAUGUUUUAAA